AACCAUAAAUGUUUUUCACCCAAGGCAAUUCACCCAAGAUCAGCCAAUCCAGAGCUACAGAACUGCACUUCCCCCUCCAACCCCCACCACCCCAACCCGGACCUGUAGAGCUGUGUGCAAUGAGAAAUGGUGUUUGUUUUCAGCCACAAAGCUUUAGAGUGGUUCAUUAGGCACCAAAUCCUAACUGAUAAAUAUCUGAAUGUAUUUCAUGAUCUUUUUCUUGCCUUUGGAGAGAUAAUUUAGGACAUAGUCUUAUAAAGAAAUGUUUACCUGAAAUUCAGCACAUCUAAUUAUAUUUUAGUUUCUUUUUCUUCUAUUAAAUUCAAGUGGAAUUAUGUUUAAUGGUUUUUAUUAAAAAUAGCUUUAAGAUGCCUGGAUGGCUCAGUUGGUUAAGUGUCUGACUUUGGCUGAGUUAUGAUCUCGUGGAACAUGUGUUCGAGCCCCGUGUCUGGCUCUGGCUGACAGCACUGAGCCUGCUUAGGGUUCUCUCUCUCUCUCUCUCUCUCUCUCUCUCUCUCUCUCUAAGUAAAUAAACAUUAAAACAAAAAAGAGCUUGACAGGUAAUAAGGAAGUGCUCACAAAAGGACAGGGGCAUAUUGAAAGGCUGUAAGAACAAUGUGGAUCCUGGAUUGGCUCCUGGACCAGAAAAUGGACAUUGGUGGGGAAACUAUCCAAAAACACAUAAUUGGUGUUCGGAUACUCUUUAACCGCCUCCCAUGUCUAGUUAUUAGUAUUGCCUUGAUGUUCAUCCUUCCAUUCAUUGUGUUGUGGUUGUGUAAGAGGCUACCAUAGGGGAAGUUGAGUGAAGGGCAAAGGGAACUUUCCUAAGUCUAAAAUUGUUUCAAAAUGUAGCUAGAAAAGAGCACAAAGAUGUAUUAAACAAUGUCAAGAGAAAGUUGGAUUUUGAUCUUACUUUUGAAAUAUAAAACUUUUCCUCAGUGAAAUAAAUGGAGACACAGGUAAAAAUAGCUAAUAACUAAUGCAGAUAGUAAGUAAACAUUGCUAUUAGGUGUAUGAUGGCUCCAAUGAAUAGUUUUAGAUCUGCAGGAUAUUCAGAGAAAGAAGUUUGUCGAGGUAAAUGUUUAAUGUCUGCAACCUAUUAUAUCUGGUGUUAUUAAUAUAUUGGUAAAUGUUUGGUCUGUCCAGGACCAAAUCGAUUGUACAUUCCAUACCAGCAGAAGUUUGUAUAUUCAUGACACUUUUAAAGUAAUUAUUAAUAUAUUUCCAGCCUAAUUUCAAAGAUUGCAUGUUACUUUAAUCGGAGGAAUAAGGAAAGAAGUCAAACACUACGUUACCUCUCGGAGGUAGCAGAACAUGACAAAUACAGAAUAGACAUCAGAAGGGGUGUAGUCUGCUUUGGCGAUGCACCAAGGAAAACACCGUUUGGUACAGGUUGAAAUAGCACUUUCCAUAGAAGAGGAGCAGUGUCUACACAUCACACACACACACACACACACACACACACGGAUAUAUUAUAUACAGAUACAAAUAUGUAUGUGUAUGUAUAUGGUCUCUAUAUAGUAUACAUAUUAUAUAUAUUCGUGUAUUUAUACUAUUCUUUACACCCAUUUUGGUGCCAUGACCAAAUGACAUCCAUAUCAUACACCACAUGCAAAACACACUUUUAAAUGUAUAAAUAAACAACUCCAACACAUUCCGAUUGUUUCACGAGGCAGCUAUUUUUUUUUUUUUUUAAAGCUGAGUAAUUCCGUACCAGGUUCAUUGUAGAAGAAGUCCCUGGUGGGUUCUGAAGCAACUAGAAAACAACAGAAACCUUAGAAACUUGUAACUGACAAAUCAAACUAUAUCCGGAAACAGUAUUGACUCAGCAGUAACUCCCACCAAGAAGAUUAUUUGUGUUUACAAAAGUUGUGUGUUAGGCCUCUCUAAUACUAUUGUCAAGUCAAAUGUCAAGAAUGUUAAUUAGUAAAAGGAAGGGGAGGCGGUCCCUGAGCACCAGCUCUCUGUAAACAGAGCGCUGCCCCUUGAGUCCCAAAGCAACUACAUGGAGGUGUUCUUUGUGCACAGGAAACAGUACAUGAUGAAGCAUCUAGUAAAGCAGAUGUGAAAAGUUGCCAUCCGAAAACGGUUUAUCAAAAGAGACACUCUUAUUGUAAAUUACCAAAAACUCGUUUCAGUUUGUUUAGCUCACCAACGCGUGGGUAUUCAGUACGUGAGCUUUAUUUCGGCUCUUUUCAUUGUGUUCAUCCCUUAUUUGAGCAGUGUGUGCCCUCUGUUAGAAGGUCUCUCCAGAGUAGAUUACAGAAUGCAGAGAUAUCUUUAUAGUCCACUGAUAAUUUUCCAGUUCUAAAUACUCUACUAUUUAGCCAUCAGCCUAUUAGCUCAGGUAUAAAACAGGGAAGAAAGAUACUCCCACGUUAAAACCAACAUGUUUUAUUUUCUCAAUGUUCCUAUCUCUUACCCUAUUGAGAUCUCAUGGCACAUGCAGAUGGCUGUGGAUUGGUUUGAUAAUUCUUUUUUUUUUUUUUUUUACUUCUUUUAGCCCUAGGAUUUAAUCAAAACCAUUUCUUUUGUGCAACAUCGCUCUGAAUUCAACCACAUGGGACCUGGCAAGCAAGUGUUGGUAACAGACCCUGCAUCUGUCUCGUGUCCAUCAAUGUCAUGGUUAGCUUGGAAGCUGACAAAGCAUCAUAAGUUUCUUCUCAAUCCAUUUAAAAUGAACCCCAGUUAAAAUAAAAAGUAACACAAAUCAAACAGGUUUUUUUGAAUAUUAAUUCUGUACGCACACUGUCAGAAUCAUAAAUGAGUUUUGCAUAAGGAGUAAAAUGAAAGAUAACAAAACACUUAUCUUUAGGAGGAAUGUCCACAAAUGGCUAUAUAUGUUACUGUGAAUUGUUCUUAAAAGUAAACCUUCUGAUGUAUUCAAAAUAAUUAAGAGUGGACAAAAAUCUCCCCACACCAAUGCAAUUAUGUACAUGUUCAGUAGGCAAAUAGUCACGCCUUGAGCUCAGAGUCUAGGAUACAAUCAUCAGUCAAUCCAUUCUUUGUUCCUUUCCCCCUUGUCUCCAAACUUUCUCUCACUACCUAAAUACCCACAUAGGAUUCCAAAUGGGUCCAAUAGCUCAUCUGGGCAAGCAAUAAUGUCCGGGACAUGCUCGUUAUUGUAUUUUAGGCAUUUGUUGACAAAGAUGUAUUGGGUGGGUUUGUUUUUGUUUUUUGUUUUUGUUUUUCUAUCUGGGGAUGUUCCACCUAUCCUGGCAUGGAAGAAAAACUGGGCUGAGGGGGUCCUGCCUCAGCCAGCAGGGUCACCGUCUACUCUGCAGAUGUUGGUGGAGUCUUAAGGAGCAUGAGGUCUUGAGACAGGGAAGAGACCCAGUGGUCUACUUUGCCUUCUAAUCUAAAGCCAAGUGUCUUAUUUUCAAUUAUUCCCAUUAAUAUCGUGCAGUCAGCAGCUGGGUGUAAAGCUCAGGACCUGCCCCGAGGGAUGGACAGCACGGUGGCCUGUAAGACCACGGCACCACCUGUGUGUUCAGAUGUCAUCCCUUCCCUCCUGAGAGCCAGGCCACCUGCCAGGCCAGCUGCAGAACCAGUUACUUCUACACCAUAUUUGACAUGGACAUAAGACAUGGUACUUUUCAUGACAGGAGGGAUGUCCACACAAGUUAUCAUCCAAACAGGACACUUUUGAAAGAGGCAACUAUUCAUAAUCAUAACAGGUCAACAGAUAUGAAUGGAGGCUGUCCCAGGCACACGGAGACACAUGGCUAUUAGCCAGAGGAAACUUUUCAGGAUGCCUACCUCUUCUCUUCAGUAGAUUUGCAAUGAAGACAUUCAUAGCUUCCCUGAGGCCCCACCUCUGGAGUUAUACUGCCUGGAAAUAUUUUGAGAAUGUACCUUGGGGCAAAACAGAUUUGUUGAAGAAAAUGUCCUCACAAAUGUGGAGCAAAAACUACAGAAGAAGCCGUCUUCCCCCUUUGCCCUCCCAGUGCGGUCGGAGGAGAUUCUAGAAUUAGAAACGAAACCAAAAAAUGAAAGACCUGAUCUGAGAGCUUAAUUCUCCCCUUCAGGAAACAAACACCCAGCGUGGCCAGUGGGUUCUUUAAAAACAUUCCCCAUCCAUUUUCCACCUUGUGUUCCUUUGGUCUGCAGUUGACUGGCUCUCAUUUCAUUUUUGGAAAAAAGUGAUUGUAUCUCCAGCCUAGAAACUUUGAUACACUGUGCCAUUAUCAAGGAAGUCUCCUACGUGGGGAUUGCACAUCUACCCUGCCAGAGCACGGCGGCAUGUGGUCCCGUAGACAUCAUUUUAUGCUUUCUUCUUGCUUUAUUUGAAAUACGUUUCAUGUACCAUCUCCAACAAAAAUGCAGUCGUUCAACAAGGAGAGAGACAGAGGGCCCUGAGCUGCCCAGGGAGAAGGCCAGGUCUGGGGCCGCAGAGUGGGGAGGAGUGUAAGUAAAGGCCUGCGCAGAGCGGCAAGAAAUAUUUGGCAUUCCUGGCUUCCCACAAAGGGUAGGUCACGGAGAGGGAACAAGCAGUUGGGAUGGAGUAUGUACACCACAACUAUUCUUUCUCAGGCCGCAUCCAGGCCACUCUAUCACAGCAACGUCCCCGGUGGGAAGACCCCGAGUUUACUCCACAGUGAGGGAAAUGCUCCGGGUAAUUACACACGAUGCCUGUCUAUACGCGGGAUGGGGUCAAUGUCUGUGGCAAAGACAGCUGCUGGUUUUGAGGCUGUGUGUUAAAUCCACUUUGGCUAACGACCGUUUAGUGCAUUUAAGGGACGGAGCACUGAGCAUCCCCUUCCACAGGCCCUGGUCAAAACAAAGCCCACUUCUUCGUGACGUGCCCACAGGUGGUCUGUUUCAGAGGCCUGCCAUCAGCUUCUUGGAUGGGGAUUUUGGAAGAAGAACCACGCUCGCUAUUUCCUGGGUAGUGAAUUAAAGACAUGCCUCUCUUCUCUCUGAAACUUUGGGAAAGAAAAAAAAAAACAAAACAAAACCACCGUCAUUCAUAACAACAUAACCACACAUACAUCAAGACAAAAAUAAUCAUUUAGUUGAAAAGAGAUUUUGUCAUCAGCAGGCUUUCUUUCUGCCCACCUCACUGGGCAGGGUAAUUUGGCCCCUGCAGCCAGAUCUAUAAAAUGCUGCAGUAAGAUGGCUUCACGAGGUUUCUCAGCCACGGGAAUUUCCAGCUACUGGAAAUACCCAAGGCCAGCGUAAGCUCAUUUAUUUUUCUUAAUUUGAGUGUCAGGUUAUAGACUAAAUAGCAGAUGCCUGAUGUUCUCAAGUGCUUGUGAGGCAAAUGUCACGGGACAGGACACGAAUGGAAGAAUGCAUGGAAAAUGGGACAUCAUGCUCCAGGGUCAGCAGGUGGGCAGACCGCAUGGAAACCUUCCCCUCGGAGUCACGGAGGUGAAGUUUCCGGGUGAUAAAUCUGAGAAGGUGCCUCCCGUUGCAGGGCUCAGAGCAGCAGGAUGGCCUUCUUGCCCCUUGUACGCUGUGGCCCCGUGGCCCAAGGAGAAGUGGUGGUUUGGAAAUCAUGUUAAGACUUCUCCAUGUGGCAAGAGUCGUUAGGGAGUGUUUUUGUUUUCUUCUUCUGAACAAGUAGUGUCCUAACACAGCGGCCACAUGUUUUGCAUUUCCUGUGACAGUCCUAAUUUCUAAUAUUUUUGUGUGCACAUCCUGAUAAGUAUACCAGGAUCACUUUCGCUCAGCAUUAGGUUCGGAAAACUUGGUGGCAGAAAUCUUAGAGCAUCUGUGUAUUUUACAGGAUGAGCAGAGGAGGAGAGAAGGGAAGGGGAGGCACGGAACCCCUAGUUCAGGACAGGUAACGUGCCAGUAAUCUGUACCGUUGGCAUGUUUGGUUCCCACAGGGGUGGGCAGCAUUGCUCUGGUUUUAAAAAUGAGGAAACCAGCUCAAAGGAGCUCGGCAGCUCACCCAAGGUGGCUGGCUAAGUAGCAAUGAUACCAAACUUUGGAUCCAGAUCUGACUCUAACACCCAUGGCUUCUCCACCUUUGGGAUUGCAAAUUCAAUGGAGAACGGAGUGUCUUUCAACCCCAUGUGGGGACUGGAACUCAAAGGGGUCCAGACACUUCAGUCAAGAUGCUGACUCUGCUCAGGAGGCACCCCCACACCGUCAGUGUCAUGUCACGUGCUUGAUGAUGGCACCAUGCUGCAGAGAUGGAGACAGUGCCAACGGUUGCCCUCCAACAGGUAGCGAGGGCUGUGAUGCUUUGCAAGGACUGUCGGCAAGGACAAUACGUUCCAUUCCAUAAAUGGUCACCGCGUACCUGCUACAUAGAAAGCACAAUGUUGAAACAUGCCGCCUUCCGGCUUCCAGCUUCUGAAAGAAGGAGACAGAAAACAACUAUCGUAUAAAAAAAAAAAAAUGCCAGUUGAUAGAUGCAAAUAAUAUACUCUGGCAAUUCCGAAGGGGAGUGAUAUCCCUGCAUCUAAUGGAGAGAUCAGUGGAAGAGGCAUUUGACAUAGGCCUUGAAGUAUGUGUAGGAGUCCAACGGACGGGUGGGGAAGGAAAAACAGAAGCUAAUAUGCUCAAGGAGGAGAACGGAAUCUGUCUAAACAGUGGUGAGUCAUCUAGCUCAUCUGGGUUGUGGAAUAUAUGAGAGGGAGUAGUAAUAAGGCUUAUUUUCCAGGCUUGCACUUCACCUUGAACUUCAGUCUGUGCAAGAUCCAUCACUUCUGGCUUGUCCUCCUGGGGAGAGCAGACACUCUCAGUCAGCAGGCGGCCUUGCCAGUGGGCAGGGGGCCGAGCAACUCUCCUGUGUGUGUGUGGAUGAAGGCCAGGGAUACAGGGGCAGCAGUGGUUUUUCCCCGGUGAGAAACUAGGCCUAGUUGGUGAGAACUAACCUCGCGGGCCUGGGAAGCUGAUCUGGCCCUGUUCCUGAACUCCUGCCUUCUCUGCCCCAAAGCUCUAAGCCCCUGGACAGAAGGCUGGGUCAGCUCUGCUUGCAGCCAGAGGACACUGAGAAGGCCACGUCUCACAGGUGCCCUUCUCUCAGGUCCCCAAAGCCUCUAGAGCCGACAGCCAGCAUCACUUUCCAUCUGGCCCCAGGCAAUGGCUACCUAGCAACUGAGCCAUAGACGUUUGCCCUUAGGAUAUAGUCUGAGUGUCGGUCUGAGGUUUAUUUUUUUUUUUAAUUUUUUUUUAACGUUUAUUUAUUUUUGAGACAGAGAGAGACAGAGCAUGAACGGGGGAGGAGCAGAGAGAGAGGGAGACACAGAAUCGGAAGCAGGCUCCAGGCUCUGGGCCAUCAGCCCAGAGCCCGACGCGGGGCUCGAACUCACAGACCGUGAGAUCGUGACCUGAGCUGAAGUCGGAUGCUUAACCGACUGAGCCACCCAGGCGCCCCUUGGUCUGAGGUUUAAAACCAAACCAAAUUCUGCCCCACUGCAUCUUCAACUGUUGACUUCUGGUGAAGUGUCUUCUAAAGGCACAAUCAGCCCUCCUGUGAACAGAAGCGAGCAAUUGAAAACCUUGCUCUCUGGGGCACCUGGGUGGCCUAGUUGGUGGAGCGUCUGACUCUCGAUUUCAGCUCAGGUCAUGAUCUCUCAGUUCAUGAGUUCUAGCCCUGCUCUGACAGUGUGGAGCCUCCUUGAGAUUCUCUCUCUUCCUCUCCUCUGCUUGGGCACGCUCUCUCUCUCUCUCUCUCUCUCACACACACACACACACACACACACACACACGUGCACAAAAAAUAAACUCUAAAAAAAAAAAAAAACCCACAAAACCUUGCUUUCACUCUUCCCUCAUUUCCUUGCCCUGUGAAAGCAUCUGGGUCUAAAUUGGGCCCCAACUUAUCAGUAUGAUGCUUGCUACCCAUCACAACUGACUGGGGAGUUGUUGGAAAUGCAAAUGCUGGGUUCACCCCAGGCUAAGAGAUAGGUCUGUGGGUUUGAUUUUAUUUUUAUGUAUGUCCCCCCAGGUGCCUGGGCAAAUGCCGUAUAACUUUGGAUAUCCACAUUUCCUGUUUGUUGCAUCCUAGAAUUUCCAGCUGGGACAAGUUCUGAACAUCAGCUAACACAGCACUUUCUAAAUUCAUGGGAGCAGGAUGCCAGUCUAGGAACUAGGGAGAUAGCAAGUAGCGUUUCCUCAGUGGAUCUGACUGGAAAUCAACUUCUCUUGGAGCAUAGAUUGGCAUCUCAUGCCUAAAGUACAGCAUGAGAAUGUUGGUCUAGUUCAAUCUCCUCUUUAUGCAUUUGAAGAAGGAGAACUGCUGUGCCCCAUGGCACAUAGCUCUAGACCCGCAGGCUCACUUCCCCUGCCGGUGCUGCUUUGGAAUGAUCCCUUCUAUUUCCCUGACUUGGGUGAGAAUGGCAUGUGUGAGCAGAUGAGACACUUGUGGGAAAACCAUGUUCUAGAAGUGUGUGAGGUGAUGUAUGCUGUUUUGACUUGGACUUUUUCUUUAAAAAAAAAAACUUGUUAUUUGAGAGAGAGAGAGAACUCGAGGGAGGGGCAAAGGGCGAGAGAGAGAGAGAGAGAGAGAGAGAGAGAGAAUCCCAAGCAGGUUCCAAGCUAUGAGCACAGAGCCCAACGCAGGGCUCGAACUCAUGAAUCGUGAGACCAUCACCUGAACCAAAAUCAAGAGUUGGACACUCAACCAACUGAGCCACCCAGGUGCCCCUAACUUAGACUUUUCCUGAGCAUUGCUUUGAGUCCGUAGCAACCACUGCCGUUAUAGAACAUCUUAGAACCACUGAAGAAAAGAGCAAUUCCAGAUUUGGGGACUUGGUGAGCAAAAAUUCUCUACUUCCUCCCCAGCUUGAGCACGGCUUCUUCAUUGGAGUCCAGGCGCCUAGAGCACAGGAGUCGACCUCCAGCCACAGGGACUAUCUAGGCUGCCCUGGGGUCACCAGGGGUAGCAGAAGAGACUAGGACGAGCCGCAGGAGCACAGGAAGCCGGGAGGCUGCCGUGGGAAGCAAGAGGAAGGUGGGAGGGGGGGCGGACAUAAUGUGACUGCUCUGGUCCCUCACUGGCUCACGUACUCACCUGGGCACCUGACACCGCAUGCUGCCAGCAAAGUGGAUCCUUCAUCGAAUGAUGCAAGGACUAUGAACUUAUCUGCUUUACGCCCUCAGGACAUCUAAGCGUGGUGCCUUGUUCCUACAAAUUGCUCUGUGAUUAUAUAAUGAUGGACCAAGAGUGACACAGCAGGGAACCUUUCCAUCUGCAGAGGAAAACUGCUCUUACACACACUGUCCCAGGGAAACCACCUUCUCUUCCAGAAGGCAAGCGUCUCUGGCUAUUUGGAACUGCCUGUUGACCCCCAUUCCUCUUCAGCCCAUUAGUCAGAGGUAGAGCUGCUCCUGGAUAACACCCUUACACACCCUUACACACACACACACACACACACACACACACUUAAUCUGUUAACUUUUGGAUCUUUGCCCAGAAGCCUCCAGAAGCCCAGACCCAAUCCUGGGUUCCCAGGUCCAAAAUUUUUGUAGCAAGAAAAAGCAUUCUCAUCUGAAACUUUUAAUAGUAUAUAAAUAAAGUGAUCCAGGCUCCAAAUGGCCCAGGCAAGGCCACCCCAUAUAGGGCCGUGAAUAUCACAAUAGGUGAUUGUUUUAAAGUGUUUUAAUGAGUCUCAAAACAUCCUACAUAAUAUCAGCCUCCACUCCAGUCCUCCUGACAGGCUCCAGUAAAUAACAUGAGUUGACAGGAAUAAAACAGCUUGCUCAGGAGUAAUUGAGUGGAAUUAGAAUGAACAGACAAGAAAGAAAAAUUGGUGCUUGGGUCACAAGGAACUUUUUGUUGGGAACGCCCUGGGGGAUUUGGUGGGAUGUGGCCCCGCUGACUAAUCACCAGUAUAGAAAGUUUACAGUCUCUCCACCAUGCCAGCGUCUUUAAUAACUUGAAAAGCACAAGAGGUGGCUGUUAAUUUCAAAGACAGUUAUAUGAAGCUUUUAUUGAGUGUGGCGCAGAGUAUAUAGUUAGCAGCCCGUGAGAUAAUGAACCCUUUAAAUAGGGUUUUCAAAAACAAAACCAUCUUAUUUUUGCUUGAGCCAAAAGAACAGCAAUGUUCUCCUGUUAUUUGAAAGCCGAAAAAAUAUAUAUAAAGUAGGAUCUCUCCAUUGCACACGAGAAGAGCCGCUUUCUUCACCAAGGGCGUGUGCCAUGCCAUGGAACCAUGGACACUUAGACGGACUCAGCUGACCUUGCCAGGACAUGCCUUUGCCGGGAAGCAAGCAGAUAGGGGAGGAAGGGGUUAAAUGUGAUGGCUGCCACCCUCAUGAGCAUUGGCUCCUGGGCCUUCUCUCCCUGACCUGGGCUGACAAUACUGGGAAGAGGUGGGGCCCCCUCUGGCCCCCCAGUGUCAUGAAGUGAGUAAACCAGAGAUCAAACCAGUGGCUUCUUGAAUUUAAAGAGAUAAAGAACCAACCUGUGAAAAAAGCAGGACUCCACAUGCCUCCCCUGGGCGUUCUGGGGCUGGAGACGGCGGGCCGGGAGCAGGGUGGGCAGACAUUGCCUGUCCAGUCUAGAACCACUUAGGAUGGCCUGCUCUGACCUCUCGACGCGGCACGUGAGGAAUGGACGCGGUGAAGUGAGCCGUUGAUGGGCCUGGAAUCUCCAAGCCACUGUGACCGGGGACCCUGCCUUCUCCCCCUGGCAACAUCUAUGAUUUUGACCCAUGGAGUACCUUGUGCUUUUAUCAUUGUCUCUCCCUCUUUCCCUCCCUUCCUCUCCUCCCCUUCUCCAUCUCUCUUCCUCCUUCCCUCCCUCUUCCCUCCCCUCCCCGACCCCGACUGCGCUAGAUGUAUACGUGCGUGAAGAGACUGAGAUGGAGAAACCGGUCCAGCCCACUUUAGAAGUCAUCUGUUUUUCCCUCACCCUAUCAUUCUUGCAUUCGAUGUUCAUUAACCCCUUGCCAAGAACAGGGCUUCCAAGUGUGAGCGAGGCAGACAUGGCUCCCCUCCCCCUCCCUCUACCCCCAACACACAGGCGAGUCCUACCUGGCCCAGCUGGCAGUGGUCAGGGGCAGCACUGAUGGACAGGACAGGUGCUACCCUGACUGCAGGACCGGGUGGGCCUGUUGCUGGUCUUUGCUGUGCCCCUCCUUCAUUCCACCGUGGGUGUGUUGUGACAAGGGCUUUGCCCAUAGGACCCCCUGGGCUGAGGAACAAUGCCACCAAAUCUGACUGACCAAGGACUGCAAAACAAAACAAAGAAACAGGGCUUCUCUCAGCCAGUCCUGGGGAGCAAAUAAUGUAAACAAAAAGAUUAAUUAAAGGAGAAUGAAUUAUUUCCUGCCUCAGCACUGGCAACAAGCAGAAUCUAAGAACUUAAUUCAGUCUUGUUAUUAGCAACAUAUACCCUGCUUUUUUUUUUUUUUUUUAAGACACACUUCUGUCCCUCGCGUGAUAUGGGGAAUUUAGCCAUUUCCAGGAGUUUUUUCUGCAAAACAUGCAUCAAGUUGGAUCUCUUCCCAAGCUGUAAAUUCUUGCUAGCCCAGGAAAACUCCUUCUAGAAGCUUUUGGGAUCUGGUGAGCCCUGAAGGAAAACUCCCAGCCUCACUCCUUUCCAGCAGUUUGGGAACAUGCUGGAGCUGGGUCUGUGGGAGUCUGGAAUGCUUGCUUAGGAAGGCCCUUUGUUGGCCACAUCGCCUUGGAGCCACUUGCAGAUUCCCGCUGGUCUAGGAUGUAUCAAGAAGCCAGAGAACAACCUUGUUUUAGGAAAAGAGGGAACUGCUUCUUCUAACGCUGUCAGGAAGCAAAACAGUCAAAUUUGCUUUUCCGGAGGUCUGAACAGAGGCACGGAUAUUUGAAUGAAUGCACUUUCAAAGUCUCGAUGCUCUAAUUGCCAGUGGUCCCCAGUCCUUGCGGUGUCGUAGAAGCACCUGAGAAUGAGUCAGAAUAUGAGCUGCUCUUCUCCAUGUCCUGUCUCCCCCACAGGAAGCUUCUUGUGUGGCACCUAGGAAUCUGGAUUUUCAAGAAAGUCCGUAAGUGAUCGCUGUGCAACCAGUACAGUGCCACCACCCAUGAAGUGACGGCAAGUACUGUCACCUAGGGGCUGCCCACAUGGCAGGGACAGCAGAAGGAGCUAAGAUUGAGAUGUUCUGGAGAAGCUCUUUCUUAGGAAAGGUGAUCUUGGGGGUUCGGUUAGGCAAGGGAGAGAGAACGUUCAGUCCGGGGUGCUCCUGAGUCAAAGCCAACCAUCACCUUCUUAAGGAUGUCAGCUUGCUGACUCGCCAUCCUGGGUAGCUUAAUGGGCCCCCAGCAGCCCCCAGAGAGGAGGUCAGCUGGAAGACGAGUGCUGGAAAUACCAGCACGUGACAAAUACUUCUGCUGGAGAGCACUGGUGAGAUUCCCUGAGGACGCCCUGUGAAUCACCCUGAGUGGCAAGGCCAAGGUCAAGAGGUGGGUGUUUCUGGUCAACCCGAGGCUUCACAAAAUCAUUUCCUUUUGCCUUCACUUCAGACCUCACCUGUCAAUGUGGCUUCUGCCAGGUACGCAUGUGCUUUCUGCCCAAGGCUCCUCGAGCUGCCCAGUGCUCACACAGCCAGGGUGCGAACAAGCCUGUACUGAGCCAUCCCUUUGGGUUAGAAUGAAUGCUCGAGAAAGGCAGGAGGCAUUUCUGACCUUUUUGGAGUUUCAGUAAUCUCCCCUACAAGCAUUUGACUAUGAAUCUUCUGGGCAAGGAAGAAGCUUGCUUCCUGAUGUAGAGCCCACUUUUCCACAGGGAAAGAAAUAGCUUGUGAGCUCAUAUCCAGGGUUUGCCCUUUUUAACAGCAAAACACAGUUACGUGACCAUUCAGAGCUUCUCUUCUAGCCAACAUGGGGCGUGGAUGUCUGAAGUGGACAGGCUACCUGUGCCUCGAGCCCCGGGUGGGUCAGAACCAUGAUGGGAUCCGCCUUGGCCUUUGGGAAGAUGGCUCUAUGCCACCGGGUACUCAGGAAGCUGGGGACAAUGCGACACCAGUCCAUCAACAACUAUCUACUGAGCCCCUGCCAUUGUCAGACACUCUUCCGGACUGUGUGUCUUACGAAUUGACUUUGAGAGCA